AUUGAACGCUGGCGGCAUGCCUUACACAUGCAAGUCGAACGGCAGCACGGGAGCAAUCCUGGUGGCGAGUGGCGAACGGGUGAGUAAAGUAUCGGAACGUGCCCAGUCGUGGGGGAUAACGUAGCGAAAGUUACGCUAAUACCGCAUACGAUCUAUGGAUGAAAGCGGGGGAUCGCAAGACCUCGCGCGAUUGGAGCGGCCGAUAUCAGAUUAGGUAGUUGGUGGGGUAAAGGCUCAACAAGCCGACGAUCUGUAGCUGGUCUGAGAGGACGACCAGCCACACUGGGACUGAGACACGGCCCAGACUCCUACGGGAGGCAGCAGUGGGGAAUUUUGGACAAUGGGCGAAAGCCUGAUCCAGCCAUGCCGCGUGCAGGAUGAAGGCCUUCGGGUUGUAAACUGCUUUUGUACGGAACGAAAAGGUUUGGCCUAAUAAGCUGAGCUCAUGACGGUACCGUAAGAAUAAGCACCGGCUAACUACGUGCCAGCAGCCGCAGUAA
rnacentral:rRNA from 1 species